rnacentral:misc_RNA from 1 species
UCAGGCUCCACAAUCAUCAAAUGCACAUCUAAAGGAAGAUCUGUCACAGGGCGUAGAGCAUCAACGACAAGAGGUCCAAUUGUGAUAUUUGGAACAAAACGGCCAUCCAUUACAUCAACAUGAAUCCAAUCACAACCUGCCAGUUCCACUGCUUUGACCUGCUCUCCCAAUUUGGCAAAGUUAGCAGAGAGGAUUGAGGGAGAGACGAUGAUAUCAGAUUUUGAGUAUUUAUCAACCCGAGAUGAAGCUUUCACCACAUUUCUGAACCUCCUCCUCGAAAAGGUAAGAGAUGAAGGUUGAGAGAG